rnacentral:misc_RNA from 1 species
CCACUGAUAAUAAACAAAUCAGCAGACUAUUUACCUCGUUAUUAAGCCACCCAGCAUAACAUUUUUUACAAUUAAAAGUUGUUAAUUUUUUUGUUAAGAUUACUCGAUGUUGUGAAUGAUAAUCCGGAUGUAUUUUACCGACAAGCGUGGAAACCGCUUAUGUCCACAGCGAUCCAAGCUGCUGCCGAGUUUCUGGGGGCGGAUCCAAAUAAUGUGGUCCUGGUACAGAAUGCCACAACAGGAGGACACAUACAUCAGUUUGAGAUAGGCUUUCCCAUCAAGAAUGAAGAGGAAAUUGUCAGAAACAUGGCGUCAGCUUUAGAUGAACACCCAAAUGUUAGAAUGGCCGUACUUGGUAAUUAUAUAAUUUUGUUCUUUGAGUCUGUACCAUUUAUACAUGACAAUGCUUUAUAAGAAUAUUUGUGCCAGAUUUAAAGCAAUGUGCGUAUAGUUAAGGCAGUUAUUUAAUGUUUAAGACCACAUAACCAGUCCAUCGGCUUUGCUGCUACCAAUAAAGAAAAUGAUAGAGGAGUGCCGAAAGCGCAGGGUUCUGGUUUUGAUUGACGGCGCCCAUGCUCCAGGGCAAGCAGAGAUAAAUCUAGAGGAACUCUGCCCUGAUUUUUACACAGGGAAUUUCCAUAAGUGGGUGUAUACCCCGAGAGGAAGCGCUAUUCUCUGGGUCCACAAGGAUCACCAGGGUUGGUGCACUCCCCUCGUGACGUCACAUAUGUACAAUAAAGGGUUCCAGUUGGAAUAUGGACAACAGGGUACCCGUGACGACACUCCAUAUUUCUUGAUUCCAGAUGCAAUCCAGUUUUACAAGGAUAUGGGUGGAAUGGUUGGUAAUGCAUUAUUUCACAGCUGGAUUAGGAUUGAUUUUGUAUUCUUAUUAAUAGCGGUAUUGAUUAUGUGGAAUACACAAAUUUAAUAUAAAUAUCAACCUAUUAAUCAGGAUAAAAUAGUGAAGUAUACAAAGAAACUCCUGGACGACGCCUGCAGGAUGAUGGCGGAGAGGCUACAAACAGAACUACCUCAGAUUCCUCAAUCAAUGGAAGCCGCGGGAAUGAGGCUUGUUUUGUUGCCAGAUUUUGAUAAGUUCGAACGUUACACAAAGACAUGGGAAGGUUCCGAAAAUCUGUAUAACGACAUCAUGAAUAUACACAAAAUCAACUGUGCUGUGUAUCCAAUCCAAGGGGAACUCUUCUUGAGACUUUCAGCUAACAUUUACAACGAGAUGGAUGAUUACGUUAAAUUAGCGGACCUCUUAGUUCAGCUGUUGAAAAAAGUUUAAUGAUGCAUGGAUAUUAAGAGGAUUUUAUUAAGUAUCUAUAUUUAUGAUAUAAAAACCAAUUAAAAGUUAAAUCUCCAACAAUAAAACAAAUUAGAACUUGAAAUCAAUAACGUUUACGUAUGUAGUUUCAAUGCGUUACAUUCAUGGAAUAAAUACAUUUCAA